rnacentral:rRNA from 1 species
UACGUAGGGGGCGAGCGUUGUCCGGAUUUAUUGGGCGUAAAGAGCGUGUAGGCGGCCAGGUAGGUCCGUUGUGAAAACUCGAGGCUCAACCUCGAGACGUCGAUGGAAACCAUCUGGCUAGAGUCCGGAAGAGGAGAGUGGAAUCCGUGGUGUAGCGGUGAAAUGCGCAGAUAUCAGGAAGAACACCUAUGGCGAAGGCAGCUCUCUGGGACGGUACUGACGCUGAGACGCGAAAGCGUGGGGAGCGAACAGG